rnacentral:lncRNA from 1 species
GUCAACUCUUUGUAGAUUGGAGCAAUUUGCUAUGGCGAAUCUAAAAAAAAUAAUUUCAAUCCAUAUCUAAAAUCUGAAAAGUUGGAAGUAAAUCAGACAAGACCUCCUUGAGAUGAAACACCGGACAACAUGCGAAAAUGGAUGAAGUUUGAAUUAUUAGGCAGGACAGGUGUUUUGAGUAAAACAAAAACACAAGAUGAGUAACUUGUCUAAAAAAAUCAAGAUAGACUAAUAAAAAAAA